rnacentral:rRNA from 1 species
CUUUUAUACACGUGAAACUGCGAAUGGCUCAUUAAAACAGUUAUAGUUUAUUUGAUGGUACCUUACUACUUGGAUAACCGUAGUAAUUCUAGAGCUAAUACAUGCCUACACGCCCGACUCACGAAGGGUGGUAUUUAUUAGAUAAAAAACCAAACCAGGGCGUCCUCGGGUGACCUGGAUUGUGAUGAUUCAUAAUAACUUGUCGGAUCGCAUGGCCUAGUGCUGGCGACGCAUCAUUCAAAUUUCUGCCCUAUCAACUUUCGAUGGUACAGUAGUGGUCUACCAUGGUGUCAACGGGUGACGGGGAAUUAGGGUUCGAUUCCGGAGAGGGAGCCUGAGAAAUAGCUACCACAUCCAAGGAAGGCAGCAGGCGCGCAAUUUACCCAAUGGCAACACGCCGAGGUAGUGACAAAAAAUAACAAUAGGGGGCUCUUCGAGUCUUCUAAUUGGAAUGAGAACAAUUUAAAUCUCUUAUCGAGGAUCCAUUGGAGGGCAAGUCUGGUGCCAGCAGCCGCGGUAAUUCCAGCUCCAAUAGCGUAUAUUAAAGUUGUUGCAGUUAAAACGCUCGUAGUCGGAUUUCGGGGCGCGCCCACGGGGCCAGCUUCUGCUGCGGUUCCCUGUGGGGGUUUCUGCCCCUUUUGUUUCUGGGACGCCAGUGGCGGACCGUGGCGGGGCACUUAAUUGGGUUCUGUCACGCCCGCCGCUGAUUCAGCGGGCCGGACGUUUACUGUGAAGAAAUUAGGGUGUUCAAAGCAGGCCAUUGCUGUGAAUACGUGAGCAUGGAAUAAUGGAAUAGGACUUUGGCUCUAUUUUGUUGGUUUCCAGCGCCAAGGUAAUGAUUAAUAGGGACAGUUGGGGGCAUUCGUAUUUCAUUGUCAGAGGUGAAAUUCUUGGAUUGAUGGAAGACGAACCACUGCGAAAGCAUCUGCCAAGGAUGUUUUCAUUGAUCAAGAACGAAAGUUAGGGGAUCGAAGACGAUCAGAUACCGUCGUAGUCUUAACCAUAAACUAUGCCGACUGGGGAUUGGCGGGGGCUUCAUAUCGAUGACC